rnacentral:rRNA from 1 species
CUGAUGGCGACCGGCGCACGGGUGAGUAACGCGUAUCCAACCUGCCCUUUACUAUGGGACAGCCCGUCGAAAGGCGGAUUAAUACCGUAUGUUGUCAUGUUGAUGCAUAUUUUCAUGACCAAAGGCUUCGGCCGGUAAAGGAUGGGGAUGCGUCUGAUUAGCUUGCCGGCGGGGUAACGGCCCACCGGGGCGACGAUCAGUAGGGGUUCUGAGAGGAAGGUCCCCCACAUCGGAACUGAGACACGGUCCAAACUCCUACGGAAGGCAGCAG